rnacentral:rRNA from 31 species
UUAAGCGACUAAGCGUACACGGUGGAUGCCCUGGCAGUCAGAGGCGAUGAAGGACGUGCUAAUCUGCGAUAAGCGUCGGUAAGGUGAUAUGAACCGUUAUAACCGGCGAUUUCCGAAUGGGGAAACCCAGUGUGAUUCGUCACACUAUCAUUAACUGAAUCCAUAGGUUAAUGAGGCGAACCGGGGGAACUGAAACAUCUAAGUACCCCGAGGAAAAGAAAUCAACCGAGAUUCCCCCAGUAGCGGCGAGCGAACGGGGAGGAGCCCAGAGCCUGAAUCAGUGUGUGUGUUAGUGGAAGCGUCUGGAAAGGCGCGCGAUACAGGGUGACAGCCCCGUACACAAAAAUGCACAUGCUGUGAGCUCGAUGAGUAGGGCGGGACACGUGGUAUCCUGUCUGAAUAUGGGGGGACCAUCCUCCAAGGCUAAAUACUCCUGACUGACCGAUAGUGAACCAGUACCGUGAGGGAAAGGCGAAAAGAACCCCGGCGAGGGGAGUGAAAAAGAACCUGAAACCGUGUACGUACAAGCAGUGGGAGCCUCUUUAUGGGGUGACUGCGUACCUUUUGUAUAAUGGGUCAGCGACUUAUAUUCUGUAGCAAGGUUAACCGAAUAGGGGAGCCGAAGGGAAACCGAGUCUUAACUGGGCGUUAAGUUGCAGGGUAUAGACCCGAAACCCGGUGAUCUAGCCAUGGGCAGGUUGAAGGUUGGGUAACACUAACUGGAGGACCGAACCGACUAAUGUUGAAAAAUUAGCGGAUGACUUGUGGCUGGGGGUGAAAGGCCAAUCAAACCGGGAGAUAGCUGGUUCUCCCCGAAAGCUAUUUAGGUAGCGCCUCGUGAAUUCAUCUCCGGGGGUAGAGCACUGUUUCGGCAAGGGGGUCAUCCCGACUUACCAACCCGAUGCAAACUGCGAAUACCGGAGAAUGUUAUCACGGGAGACACACGGCGGGUGCUAACGUCCGUCGUGAAGAGGGAAACAACCCAGACCGCCAGCUAAGGUCCCAAAGUCAUGGUUAAGUGGGAAACGAUGUGGGAAGGCCCAGACAGCCAGGAUGUUGGCUUAGAAGCAGCCAUCAUUUAAAGAAAGCGUAAUAGCUCACUGGUCGAGUCGGCCUGCGCGGAAGAUGUAACGGGGCUAAACCAUGCACCGAAGCUGCGGCAGCGACACUAUGUGUUGUUGGGUAGGGGAGCGUUCUGUAAGCCUGCGAAGGUGUACUGUGAGGUAUGCUGGAGGUAUCAGAAGUGCGAAUGCUGACAUAAGUAACGAUAAAGCGGGUGAAAAGCCCGCUCGCCGGAAGACCAAGGGUUCCUGUCCAACGUUAAUCGGGGCAGGGUGAGUCGACCCCUAAGGCGAGGCCGAAAGGCGUAGUCGAUGGGAAACAGGUUAAUAUUCCUGUACUUGGUGUUACUGCGAAGGGGGGACGGAGAAGGCUAUGUUGGCCGGGCGACGGUUGUCCCGGUUUAAGCGUGUAGGCUGGUUUUCCAGGCAAAUCCGGAAAAUCAAGGCUGAGGCGUGAUGACGAGGCACUACGGUGCUGAAGCAACAAAUGCCCUGCUUCCAGGAAAAGCCUCUAAGCAUCAGGUAACAUCAAAUCGUACCCCAAACCGACACAGGUGGUCAGGUAGAGAAUACCAAGGCGCUUGAGAGAACUCGGGUGAAGGAACUAGGCAAAAUGGUGCCGUAACUUCGGGAGAAGGCACGCUGAUAUGUAGGUGAAGUCCCUCGCGGAUGGAGCUGAAAUCAGUCGAAGAUACCAGCUGGCUGCAACUGUUUAUUAAAAACACAGCACUGUGCAAACACGAAAGUGGACGUAUACGGUGUGACGCCUGCCCGGUGCCGGAAGGUUAAUUGAUGGGGUUAGCGCAAGCGAAGCUCUUGAUCGAAGCCCCGGUAAACGGCGGCCGUAACUAUAACGGUCCUAAGGUAGCGAAAUUCCUUGUCGGGUAAGUUCCGACCUGCACGAAUGGCGUAAUGAUGGCCAGGCUGUCUCCACCCGAGACUCAGUGAAAUUGAACUCGCUGUGAAGAUGCAGUGUACCCGCGGCAAGACGGAAAGACCCCGUGAACCUUUACUAUAGCUUGACACUGAACAUUGAGCCUUGAUGUGUAGGAUAGGUGGGAGGCUUUGAAGUGUGGACGCCAGUCUGCAUGGAGCCGACCUUGAAAUACCACCCUUUAAUGUUUGAUGUUCUAACGUUGGCCCCUGAUCGGGGUUGCGGACAGUGUCUGGUGGGUAGUUUGACUGGGGCGGUCUCCUCCUAAAGAGUAACGGAGGAGCACGAAGGUUGGCUAAUCCUGGUCGGACAUCAGGAGGUUAGUGCAAUGGCAUAAGCCAGCUUGACUGCGAGCGUGACGGCGCGAGCAGGUGCGAAAGCAGGUCAUAGUGAUCCGGUGGUUCUGAAUGGAAGGGCCAUCGCUCAACGGAUAAAAGGUACUCCGGGGAUAACAGGCUGAUACCGCCCAAGAGUUCAUAUCGACGGCGGUGUUUGGCACCUCGAUGUCGGCUCAUCACAUCCUGGGGCUGAAGUAGGUCCCAAGGGUAUGGCUGUUCGCCAUUUAAAGUGGUACGCGAGCUGGGUUUAGAACGUCGUGAGACAGUUCGGUCCCUAUCUGCCGUGGGCGCUGGAGAACUGAGGGGGGCUGCUCCUAGUACGAGAGGACCGGAGUGGACGCAUCACUGGUGUUCGGGUUGUCAUGCCAAUGGCACUGCCCGGUAGCUAAAUGCGGAAGAGAUAAGUGCUGAAAGCAUCUAAGCACGAAACUUGCCCCGAGAUGAGUUCUCCCUGACUCCCUGAGAGUCCUGAAGGAACGUUGAAGACGACGACGUUGAUAGGCCGGGUGUGUAAGCGCAGCGAUGCGUUGAGCUAACCGGUACUAAUGAACCGUGAGGCUUAACCUU